UUUGAUAUGGCAGAUUAGUGCAAUAGAUUUAAGAUCUAUAUAUAAAGGUUUAAACCCUUUUUUCAAAA
rnacentral:tRNA from 1 species